UACGUAGGGUGCGAGCGUUAAUCGGAAUUACUGGGCGUAAAGCGUGCGCAGGCGGUUUUGUAAGCCAGAUGUGAAAUCCCCGGGCUUAACCUGGGAAUGGCAUUUGGGACUGCAAGGCUUGAGUGCGGCAGAGGAGACUGGAAUUCCUGGUGUAGCAGUGAAAUGCGUAGAGUAUCAGGAGGAACACCGAUGGCGAAGGCAGGUCUCUGGGCUGACACUGACGCUCAUGCACGAAAGCGUGGGGAGCGAAACAAACG
rnacentral:rRNA from 1 species